CUUACCCUUGCCCCGCCCUCGGGUCAACCCCGACGCCACUGCUCCGCCCCUGAGUUGGGGCUUCCCUUCGGGGGCCCUCCUGCGGCCCGCGCCGCCGCGUGCAGGUCCACCAGGCACAGCCUCCAGAGCCCUCCAAUAUGAAUCAGGCAUAGCCUGAUGAAGUCACUCUCUACAACCCUGACAAAACCAAGAGUGAAGACCCUGGUGAGAAUGGUGACUCCUCUUUAGGACUCUCUCCUCAGCCAGCCGUCAACUCCACCCCAGGAGAAGCCUCCAUGAGUUCCUGACCUGAUCACUGCAGCCUGAUUUUCGGCGGACACAACAUCUUUGUAUGUGGUGCUAAGGAUUGAACCCGGGCUGCACGCAUGCCAGGCGCUUGAGCCACAUCCCCAGCCCUCAUUUUCUUGAUUAAUAAUCUAGUUCUUAAUCUUGAUUAAGUUCAUAACUAGGUUCUUAAUCAAUGAUUUUAAAAAAAAGAACCUAUAGAGUCAAAUUGUAUUGAGUGAUUUAAGCAUUGAAAACAGCAUUAGCACAUGAACAUUCUUCAUGUCUCCCCUUGACAUCCCUUAGGGUCGCAAGUUUGCCAUCCAGAGGAUAACCCAGACCCUUGUUUUAGCCCUCACCAUUUUCCACCGUGAAAAUGAGCCACACAAGUUGUUCAACUUAUUGACUCUGCCGUUGAAUAAGAAAGAGCUUGCAGAUCUGAGGCCUGCUUCCCACUUCCAGCCCUCCUCCUUUGAGCAAAACUUUUGCUUGCAGAGACUGUUUUGAUCUGUUGGGGUUUAGUACCCAUGCUCAGUCCAAAACAACUAAUUUUGGCUUAACAAAUGAAACCACUUGAGCUGCAGAACGGUAGCUCAGAGGCUGGGGUGUAGUUCAACGAUUAGAGCACUUACCUAGCAUGGGACUGAGAGCCUCAAUUCAGUCCCCAAUACUGGAGAAAAUCAAAAGCAGCUCCAUUCUUUUACAUAUUUCACAAGUAUUGGAGACUGCAUGUGCCAAGGUCUGUGCAGGCACAAAGAAUAUAGAUGUAGACAAUACAGAUAAGAUCCUUUAAGGACUGAGGAGGUAGCUCAGGACAGAGCUUUGCAUAUCUAAGGCCCUGAGUUUUAUCCCCCUCCAGGACCACACAGACAAAAUAAAACCUUUGCCUCAGGGGCUUACAUUGCAGUAGGGAGAUAGAUCAUAAAAAUUAUAAACAAAUAAAAGGUACAGCAUGAUAAAUAGUGAUAAAUGCAAAUGAUAGAAAACUAAGAAUGUUGUGAAGAGACUGCUCAGAAAAUACACCAAAUCCGAAUUUGAAAUCAUUUGAAGAAUUUUUAUUUUACCUAUAUUGCCAAUUACACCUGUCCAGGGGCUGAGUCUAGCAGAGUCCAAGUGACCCUCUGAAAGAACAGGAGCCCCCUCUGAGGGAAAUUUGCUAUGUAAGGAUGAAAACCACAUCCUAUGGAAUUUUUCAGUUAGCAAGCAAGCAAGUUACAGAAGCUAAAAAAAUAAGAUUAAAAAAUUGUUUUAAAUUUUAAAAAGAAAGCUGUUAGCAGAACAACUCAGUCAACCUCAUCUUGGGUCCAGCAGGUGCUAGACAACAGUCAAACAGGUGGUCAGCUGGGGUGAGAAUCUACUUCAAAGUCAUAUAGGUGACCAAGACCACCAUAUCCUGGGUUGAGUACAUUUUGUGGGGAACAAAGUACAGAAGACAAUAUGUUUUUUUGAAUUUAGCAGAAAACAGCUUUCAUUUUGUUUUCCCAGAAAUGGGUCCUGCAACUGUCUCUUCACGGAAGCUAUAACAGAAAAACUAAGGUGGAGCCUAGAAUAGCUGAGAUGGAGUCCCUACAGCCACACCUGUUUGCUCCUAUAGCCAUAAUGACUCCAUUCCUGCAAGGAGGGAACUGUUACAAGUGAUCAGGUAGUUUUACCACAGCAAUUACUUUACACACCCAGGAUCAGUCUAUAACCUAUACCUACAACUUAUACUCUUAUUGACUUUAUUGAUUAGUCCACACCACAACAAGAACAGGGCAGGGAAAUGGGAAAGCUUUCUUCGUGCCCCCAAAGGACCU